CCUACGGGUGGCAGCAGUGGGGGAUAUUGUACAAUGGGGGGAACCCUGAUGCAGCGACGCCGCGUGGGUGAAGAAGCGCCUCGGCGCGUAAAGCCCUGUCUGCAGGGAAGAAAAUGACGGUACCUGAAGAAGUAGCCACGGCUAACUACGUGCCAGCAGCCGCGGUUAUACGUAGGGGGCCGGCGUUAUCCGGAUUUACUGGGGGUAAAGGGGGCGCAGGCGGUGAGGCAAGCCAGGGGUGAAAGCCCGGGGCCCAACCCCGGGACUGCUCUUGAAACUGCGUGGCUGGAGUGCAGGAGGGGCAGGCGGAAUUCCUGGUGUAGCGGUGAAAUGCGUAGAUAUCAGGAGGAACACCGGUGGCGAAGGCGGCCUGCUGGACUGCAACUGACGUUGAGGCCCGAAAGCGUGGGGAGCAAACAGGAUUAGAUACCCUUGUAGUC
rnacentral:rRNA from 1 species